GACGAACGCUGGCGGCGUGCUUAACACAUGCAAGUCGAACGGUAAGGCCCUUCGGGGUACACGAGUGGCGAACGGGUGAGUAACACGUGGGUGAUCUGCCCUGCACUUCGGGAUAAGCCUGGGAAACUGGGUCUAAUACCGGAUAGGACCACUGCCUGCAUGGGUGGUGGUGGAAAGCUUUUGCGGUGUGGGAUGGGCCCGCGGCCUAUCAGCUAGUUGGUGGGGUGAUGGCCUACCAAGGCGACGACGGGUAGCCGGCCUGAGGGGGUGACCGGCCACGCUGGGACUGAGAUACGGCCCAGACUCCUACGGGAGGCAGCAGUGGGGAAUAUUGCACAAUGGGCGCAAGCCUGAUGCAGCGACGCCGCGUGAGGGAUGACGGCCUUCGGGUUGUAAACCUCUUUCAGCACCGACGAAGCGCAAGUGACGGUAGGUGCAGAAGAAGGACCGGCCAACUACGUGCCAGCCGCCGCCGUAA
rnacentral:rRNA from 1 species